AUUGAACGCUGGCGGCAUGCUUUACACAUGCAAGUCGAACGGCAGCGCGGGGCAACCUGUCGGCGAGUGUCGAACGGGGGCGUAAUAUAUCGGAACGUACCCACUAGUUGGGGAUAACGUAGCGCAAGUUACACUAAUACCGCAUACGAUCUAAGGUUUAAAGUGGGGGAUCUCAAGACCUCAUGCCCCUGGUGCGGCCGAUAUCUGAUUAGUUAGUUGGUGAGGUAAAGGCUCACCAAGGCAACGAUCAGUAGCUGGUCUGAGAGGACGAGCAGCCACACUGGAACUGAGACACGGUCCAGACUCCUACGGGAGGCAGCAGUGGGGAAUUUUGGACAAUGGGCGCAAGCCUGACGCAGCAAUGCCGCGUGAGUGAAGAAGGCCUUCGGGUUGUAAAGCUCUUUUGUUAGGGAAGAAACGGUAGAGGCUAAUAUACUUAGGUAUUGACGGUACCUGAAGAAUAAGCAACGGCUAACUACGUG
rnacentral:rRNA from 1 species